CACAUGUUGACACAACCAAGGUUAGUCGCACUCUGGCAUCACGCCAAACAAAUUCAUGGAAGUUAGCGGAGUAAACUGAAAUAAAAUAACUUUAGCUUGUUUUACAGCGCCUAUAAAGUUAUACACAUAAUAAAGCUCGCAGCAAUUAAGCGUGGAGACGAGGUCCUGGUGAAAACUUUCCUAAGAACAAGUCAAGUUAGAUUAAAUGACAUGAAGGAUAUGAACCACUUUGGAGAAUGAUCUUCAGAUAACAGCGGAGAGCUGUUUCUGUGAUGCUUCAGGGACGCGCUGCGGCUGCGUCUGGUGGACUCGCAAGCAUUGACCAUAAUGGCUGCGAUUAGCUGCGGCACAGCCAUAAUGCGCCGUAGCCAGAGUCGGUGGAUUUUAGAGGUCAAGCUCACAUGUCAGCUAAUAGAACUCAGUAGUGACUUUUAUCCUCUCCCUCCAGUCAACAAAUUCAUCAAAGCAGAGUCAAACACACACUAAACACAAGUUUUUGGCAUCCCUCCCCCUGCCACCCAGCUGAAGUCUGGUUUACAUCUGUGUGCCAGUACCAUUGCGGGCUUUACACAAAGGGGGGUGUGUGUAAGUGCAGAUUCCCUGGUGUUCUCAACAGUGGGGAGUGUGUUUGUUCUGGUAGCAGCUUCCUAAAACCUUUAACACCCCCUCCCCGUGGAGACCCAGGCCACUUUAGAACUUUUCAUAUGGGACACACACACACACACACACACACACACAGCUUUCUAAGCAUCCAUCCACAGGUCUAUUUUUACAUCAAGAUCUACAGUUUUGAACAAAGUGAGUUGCUUUUCUUUGCAGCAAUUUCAAAUGCAGGUAAAUUUAUACCACUAAAUAGCAAAGAGGGAGGCUUUAACCGUCUUUAGUCUAAAGGAAUGCUUUCAAUCUGGAAAAGCUCAAGGUUUUCAGAUGACAGUUGGCACCGGUGGCGUCCUACAUAUGACUGCAUAAGCAGGAAUUUAUCAUGCCUGUAAAGCUCGCAUUCCUGUGCGGCUGGGAGUGUGUGUUUGCCAGCAUAUCGCAAGAGAUAGAGAGGAGAAAGAGAGGUUAUCAUAACAUUAAGGGGUGACUGACAGUGAGUUCUACAGUCAUACUGUGUUUACAUGCAAGUGUGUGUGAUAUUUUAAUGGUCAGAAAGCUCAGGGGUCUUUUAAGUUCAAGGCUAGAAUCACCAUUGCUGUAAAAGUUUGAAUCUCACCCUGUGUGGGUUUUUUUUAAUUUAUUUUUUAUUGCAUGAGGCCAGAGCAAAUUAUGCCUUUUUAUGUUACGGAAACAAAUAAUUGAGGGAAAAGGUUAUUUUGUAUUUGAAGGAGAGUUGAGGAGAGAGUGUCUUAGAACAAAUGUGAAAAAGAUGAUUCAUGGUGGAAAGGGGGACGGGGGCCACCGCUUGAAGUAAUGAGGUGUCAUCUACAGACAUACAGAGGGAGUGAGUCCAUUAUGCACAUCGUAUAAUCAUUUUUAAUUCUCCUCCCAAGUCUCAACACACCAGACUGUGAACCGCUGACCUGACUGUAGUCUUAGUUAUUUAGUUAUAUCUUCUCAUAACGUUUUUCUCUGCUAAGUGAUCACCCCACUGAAGUUUGUAAAAUACUUCUUGAUGAAGUAAUUAAAAAAGUUAACAACGUUA